GCUUGCUUGCUUUGACGACGACCGGCGCACGGGUGAGUAACGCGUAUCCAACCUGCCCCUUACUACGGGACAGCCCGGCGAAAGUCGGAUUAAUACCGUAUGUGGUGUGAAGAGGACAUCUGACUUACACUAAAGAUUCGUCGGUAAGGGAUGGGGAUGCGUCCGAUUAGGUUGUCGGCGGGGUAACGGCCCACCGAGCCUUCGAUCGGUAGGGGUUCUGAGAGGAAGGUCCCCCACACUGGAACUGAGACACGGUCCAGACUCCUACGGGAGGCAGCAGUGACGGAAUAUUGGUCAAUGGGCGAGAGCCUGAACCAGCCAAGUAGCGUGACGGGAACGACUGCCCUAUGGGUUGUAAACCUCUUUAGUCUGCGGAACUACACCAGUUGGCGACGUGUCGCCUUUUGUAGGUACCAGAACGAAUAAGGACCGGCUAAUUCCGUGCCAGCAGCCGCGGUAAUACGGCAAGGUCCGUGUGCGUUAUCCGGAUUUCAUUGGGUUUAACAGGGAGCGCAGGCGGCCUGUUAAGCGGGCAGUUAAAGGCGGUGGCUCAACCAUCGUUAGCUGUCCGAACUGAUAGGCUUGAGUACGUGCGAGGUAUGCGAAAUUCGUGGUGUAGCGGUGAAAUGCUUAGAUAUCACGAAGAAUCCCGAUUGCGAAGGCAGCAUACCAGUGCGCCACUGACGCUAAAGCUCGAAAGCGCGGGUAUCGAACAGGAUUAGAUACCCUGGUAGUCCGCGCGGUAAACGAUGGAUGCCCGCUGUGCGGCCUUUUAUGGUUGCGCGGCCAAGCGAAAGCGUUAAGCAUCCCACCUGGGGAGUACGCCGGCAACGGGUGAAAACUCAAAGGAAUUGACGGGGGCCCGCACAAGCGGAGGAACAUGUGGUUUAAUUCGAUGAUACGCGAGGAACCUUACCCGGGCUUGAAUUGCAGCUGCAUGGGGCAGAGAUGUCCCCUUCCCCCAAAAGCGGGGCUGCUGUGAAGGUGCUGCAUGGUUGUCGUCAGCUUGUGCCGUGAGGUGUCGGCUUAAGUGCCAUAACGAGCGCAACCCCCCUCCCCGGUUGCCAUCGGGUAAUGCCGGGCACUCCGAGGACACUGCCACCGCCAAGGUGUGAGGAAGGUGGGGAUGACGUCAAAUCAGCACGGCCCUUACGUCCGGGGCUACACACGUGUUACAAUGGCAGGCACAGAGAGCUGGCGCGUCGCAAGACGCGUCGAAUCCUUAAAUCCUGCCCUCAGUUCGGACUGGGGUCUGCAACCCGACCCCACGAAGCUGGAUUCGCUAGUAAUCGCGCAUCAGCCAUGGCGCGGUGAAUACGUUCCCGGGCCUUGUACACACCGCCCGUCAAGCCAUGAAAGCCGGGGCGCCUGAAGUCCGUGACC
rnacentral:rRNA from 1 species